CAAAGUCCCAAAAAACAACAACAGUGACAGCGAUUUUUCCCUGUAAAUUACUAAUUCUUCUCAAAAAAAAAAUAAUAAAGAGAAGAUUUUUAAAUAGAACGACGAAGAGAUAAUUGAAAGGGGACUUCUUAAGAACCUUCGUCCCUGUUUUACAGUUUACAGAGAUGCGAUGUUCUUCUUAUUCCCCCUUCCUGAGUAGUUAGUUUCAGACUUUCAGGUCUCCAAUUA